CUGAGUGGCCGCGCAGAGGUCAGCGCUUUGCGCCUUGGCGCUGUUUGGACGCUAGAGCUUCACACGUUUUUGCGCCGCAGGGUUGCCGCAAUUUUACAACCCUUCAGUAUCAUACUCAGCCAUUUAAAGCAGAGGGUUUUUUUUUUUUUUUUUUUGAAAUCUUGGUUUACAAAUUUUAUGGCUCAGUUUCAGAAGUUGAUGGGGGAAAUGCGCCCAGUAAGCACAAGCAGCCUGGUCGUUGCCAGACGCUUUGUAGAAAUGUAAGGCCUGAACGCAAAGACUUGUUUUCUUACCAAAGGAUUUCCACAACUCCAGGCUUCUCCACCUGGUCUCCAGGAGUUGCACCGUUUUUACGCACAUCUGAAGAGGAGGCGCUGGCGGCGCGCCUCUCACGGUAAGAAUCAAGGCUGGAAAACUGAAGAAGAAGUAGAAAACAUUAAAGAUAGAACUAAAUGAAGUCACAGGAGAAGGACUCUGACGCUGAGCAGCUGAAGACAUGGCCAUCCUGACACAGACUCAUCUGUGCUGUGGACGCUGCACCGCCUGGACGAUCCAUGUGGGUGUCCCUGUAAUCCGAGGUGGUAACUCCCCUCCAAAUUGUUUCCAUGUUUCCUUCAGAAGCAGGAUUAAAUGACAAAGAUCAGAUACCUCCACUGAUCUCCUCCGUUGUGAUGGUGAAUCCAUAAAAACGGAACCCGGAGUGCUCCGGGACUGCAGUUGAUUUCUACAAGGAUUUUCUGUUAAUUGAGUCACAAACAAAGCAGGAACUCAGGCCGAAGCCUCGAAGGAGAGCAUGUCCAGAAGGCUCAUUGGAGGAACGCUGAACCUCUUUCUGUCUCAGCAGGACUUCAGAGGAGACCCGAACAAUUCUGGCUGCAGAUCUUCACCGAAAAACUGGCAGAGAUGAUUAAACAUCCAAGCAGCCGGCCACCCAGGAUGUCGAUAACAGCCCGUACCAACUACACACACGACACAGGCAUGGGAAAGAAACGUGCAACAAAUGAAGCACUUUUGGACCUUCUACGGUGUCUUCAAAGAAAGCAAAACAAGCAAACCGCCUGCUGAGAGCUGCUGCAACUGAGAAAGAGCUAAUCUCUGUGAAGGAGGAGGAGGCCGGAAAGCUGAAGGACGCUCCGGAGAAAACAGGUGGAAGAAGCUGGAGAAGAGGCAGGUCAUCCUGAGAGCUGCUAAUCAACACAAACACCUCAGCAGGAAGCAGCAGCCUCUCAGAAAGGACGAUAAGAAUCAGAUGUGUGUGUAGACUGCAAAAUUUUAAUCAUCAUCUCCAAUCACGUUUCCAGCCGCUCCAGGCUUGUACAAACCAACUGGAGAUCCCACAGUGGUUGCUGGGAUGAAGCAUAGAGACAAUAUGCUGGCUUUGAGGUUAAGGAACUGUGCAAGCUCCUGGAGCAGGUUGGUGAGGGUGGGUCUGCUCAGAUUGAUCAGCAGAAGAAAGGGAAACUUUUCUUGAAGCUGAGCUGAGACCUGGAGCAAGCUGUAGUGAGGCCUGCAGAGGUGCUGCAGAGCUGAAGGAUCGAGAACUGAGGCCAUUCUGAAGAAUUCACCAUGAGACUGAGAGGACAAGGAAAUCAUGAUUUCAAUUCAUUUCCACUCAAGAUGAUGUUCAGUUGAGGCACUAAGCGAAGUAAAGGUGAUGGAGCACAACGAUACUGACUGAACAGCAGUAGAAAUGGGACACUCAGAAGGAGCAUUGCUGCAUGAGGACAAACCUCUAAAAAAAGACUUUCAGAGACCAUCAAGACAGAGAGCAAGAACCUCCAAAGUUCAGCUCUAUGAAAAUCAUGAAAUAAAGUGUUCUUCAUGCAAACACAACAAAACUCCAGAUUCUGUAGAAAAAAAAAAAAUCACUUGCAAUCCCAUUGUGAUGCAAAGGACAGGUUAAAUCGCAGGAUGACAAACGUCCAGCGUGAACAAAGGGCCGAAGCAACAAGCUCUCCAAACUGUCUACAACACGGCUCAUAAUGCGGCAGAAUGGAACCACAUGACCUUUGGAAGAACUUAUUAAAAUUAGCCAGCAGGCUUAUAACAAGAACUAAAUUUAGUCUAGGCUGGAUGUAAUCCUGUCGAAAAUGAACUCGCACAGCCGUCUCAUAUGAUGCCUCAUGUGGUUCCGAGUGUCUUUGGCGCUGUGUACACCGCUGCUAAUAAACACGUCCACCUGGUGCAUCUCAGUUUGUCAAGUGAUGCAAAGAGGAACGCCACAGCCAAACAUUACAUCACCGCAGACACACCCCAAGAUUUAUUUAUGGGAGCAGGGUGUUCACUGAAGAGAUUCUGAAGUUGACUUUUUAUAUUAAACUUGUUUAAGAAUAAUUUAAAAGGUUCAGUACAAGUAUUCAAGGUGGAGCCAGAGGGUAAGGAAGAGAGGUAACAGAAGAAGCUAAAAUGAACUCAGAUGAGAAAAAUGUGCCGUUUCCGUCAGUUUUUCUAUGACUGAGACUUACCAUCAUUUACUUGUUGCUUUCUGCAACAAUCACCAGGACGAGAAUUAAGAUGAGUCAAACAGCCCAUCUCAAAACAUCUGAUUUCUAUAUGUCAAUGUUAUAACACUGUAGUAACAGAUAAACCAUCAGAUGUCCCUAAAGUUUUCUUUAAACUGAUGGAAUCAAUCAUAAAAUCGUAAAGGAGAAAAGAAGCAUGUUCAACGUUUUUACAAACGACGAUCUUAAAGUGUGGAGUGCAUUUGUACCCCCUUUACUCUGACACUGAAAAAAUAAAGCUACUGCAACCAA